UUUUGACCCAAAGGACUAAGAGGAAGGUUGGGAGGAAGAUGAUAAAGAAAAAGCAAAGGAGGAGGUGAAUUGUAUGCACAGAUGAAAAUUGAGAGGAUGCAGGCAGAGAGACACAGAGAGAUGGAGAGAGAUGGAAGGAAAGAGUGCUGCUGCUAUCGGAGCCUUCUCUGCAUUUCCCCUUCUUCAAGAGAUUAUCCUUGCAGAGCCCUGCAGGAUCCUGGGGACUAGGGACAGGAAGGGACUCUGAAACCCUGCCUGAAAUAGAAAACAGCACAAGAUGCUGCUAUUCCACAAAGUCCCAGGAAGAGUGGGAAAAAGAGAGGAAAAAAAACAUUAAUGUAGGAAGUAAAUCUGCUCAGCGUUUUAUCCCAACAUCCUGUCCUCCUGCUGCUUUUUAUAUGACCUUUUGCACUGCACAGAAUUCAUUACUAUUGUAAAAAACACGGUUUUGUUUCUUAGAAAAUUUCAAGAAAUGUGUGAUCUGUUUUAAAGUAGACAGGAUUCACAAGUGGCAAAAAUAUGUGUUCUUCCAAAUCCUUUUCCUUCAUUAUCAGCUCCAGAAGUUUGCUAAUUAGACCCACUAAACAAAAACACCUCAGCAAUAACACAGUGCAGAAGGAACGGAGAAAACUUCAUAACUGCAAUUUUAUUUAUUAUUUCACUGCAGGACAGCACAGGAACCUUAACCAGGUCAAGACUUCAUUGUGUCAGGUGCUGUACACACAAAAAAAUAGCAGUUCCUGCUCCAGGAAACGUGAAAUUUUUGCAUGUAUUUAUAGCCAAGCUUGUGGCCCCAUGGUAACUCAUUUAGUGAUUACCUCCACAAAUGCUAGUGAAGGCACCCAGAAACAUAUUUUGCAGGGUACAAACAUCUGUGGUUUCCCUGAGGCUGAAGCCCAGUGUACUUUCCCUGCCACAGAAGGGUAAUAGGGCCUUAGAGUAAAUGGAGUGGAAUAAGGACCAAAACACUUUGUGUUCUUUAAAUGAAAGGCACUUUAUACACACACGUAUGUUUACUGAAAGGCCUUUCAAAGAGGCAUAAUUAUGCAGGCAUCUCUGUGUAAUUCGCCUGGGUCAAUGCUAAUGUUGGAAAGUACUUAUUCUGUGGGUCAGACGAAUUACUGCAGUGCUCAGCCCCUGGCCUAUGUGUAUGUAAUAAAUCACUCUGCAGAAGAAC
ensembl:lncRNA